rnacentral:misc_RNA from 1 species
AACAUUACAUAAUAGACAUAUUUCAAAGGACUGAUACUUGUUGCAUGAUCUGGAAAUAUCUGUGGAAGCAUUAAGUAGGCCCACCUCUAUACUUGAAAGCAAUAAAACAGACAUUUGGAGGAGGGAGAAGAUGAACAUACUACAGGGAUUUGUUCCAUACAGCACGGAGUCGGUAAACGUUAAUUGCACUGCUGAUUUUUAAGGACACUGUUCCUCCUCUCUUGCAGCAACUUUGUGAUAUUGUGCCAAUUCCAGGUUUGAACAUCUGCAGAAAUG